AGGCGGCCAUACCAUGCUGAAUAUACCGGUUCUCGUUAGAUCACCGAAGUCAAGCAUCAUUGGGCGCGGUCAGUACUUGGGUGGGAGACCACCUGGGAACACCGCGUGCCGUU
rnacentral:rRNA from 1 species